GACGAACGCUGGCGGCGUGCCUAACACAUGCAAGUCGAACGGAGAAUUAGCAAUAAUUCUUAGUGGCGAACGGGUGAGUAACGCGUAGACAACCUACCCUUUAGAUGGGGACAACACCGCGAAAGUGGUGCUAAUACCGAAUAUUGCUUGAGAAGCGCAUGCUUUUCAAACUAAAGAUGGACUCUAUUUAUAAGCUAUCGCUAAAGAAUGGGUCUGCGUGUGAUUAGCUAGUUGGUGAGAUAAAAGCUCACCAAGGCAACGAUCAGGAGCCGGGCUGAAAGGAUGAACGGCCACACUGGGACUGAGACACGGCCCAGACUCCUACGGGAGGCAGCAGUGGGGAAUCUGCCGCAAUGGACGAAAGUCUGACGGAGCAACGCCGCGUGAGUGAUGAAGGUUUUCGGAUCGUAAAACUCUGUUGUUAAGGACGAAUGUAUAGAUUGUGAAUAAUGGUUUAUAAUGACGGUACUUAACGAGGAAGCCACGGCUAACUACGUGCCAGCCGCCGCAGUAA
rnacentral:rRNA from 1 species